rnacentral:rRNA from 1 species
UACGUAGGGGGCAAGCGUUGUCCGGAAUCAUUGGGCGUAAAGAGCGUGUAGGCGGCCCGGUAAGUCCGCUGUGAAAGUCCAGGGCUCAACCCUGGGAUGCCGGUGGAUACUGUCGGGCUCGAGUCCGGAAGAGGAGUGUGGAAUUCCCGGUGUAGCGGUGGAAUGCGUAGAGAUCGGGAAGAACAUCAGUGGCGAAGGCGGUCUGCUGGGCCGUUGCUGACGCUGAGGCGCGACAGCGUGGGGAGCAAACAGG